AUGGCAGAUGUUGGAUUACAGGUGAAGGCUGCUUUUGGAGUUGAGAUAACUGCUGCUGUUGGACUUGAGGGAACUUCUGGUAUUGAACUCCAUGUGAUGGCAAGUGUUGGAGUAGAGGUGACUGCUGACUUUGGACUUGAGGUGAUUGUUGAAACUGAAGUUGAGGUAACUCCUGAAGCUGUAGCUGACAUAUCUGCUGAUGUUCUUGGACUUGGGGUGAUUGCUGAUGUUCUUGGACUUGGGGUGAUUGCUGGUGUUGCUGCUGUUCUUGGGGUAACUGGUGGCUUUGUUCCUGGUCUUUGUCUUGAGGUGACUGCUGGUGUACCUGUUUCUGGUGAGUGACACAUUUGAGUCUCUUACAUCUCGCUCGUUGGUUCUUGAACCAAACCUUCACAACUGUGGGGUUCAUGUUCAGUCUUGAAGCUAUUCCUUUAAUGAUACUGCACUUGGAUAUGGGUUCUCUAAGAAUUGCUUGUUCAGUUCAGCCACUUGUUGCCGAGUGAAUGUAGUUCAUGUCCUAUGUAGGUCUUUCUGGGUCUCACCCGUGAAGGGCUCGCAGGUAAUGUUAGUAUUCUUGCAGAAGAUAUGGUUCCCAUUUCCAGUAUUCUCCAAGUUGGACAGCUCCAUCCCGCCUUCAGGAAGAAUGCAAGAGUGUGCCAUGUUGGCCCUAGCCGACCCCAUGUACUUCGUUCUGCAAGUCAAAGAAUGCAAUUUUUUUUCUUUUUUUCUUCAUAAAUUUUAUUUACAUUGUAAACAAUUUUAUACAUUUUAUUUAAAUAGAAAUGAUUUUAUACAUUUUUUUCAAUUAGAAAUGAUCUACUGCUCCCUCGUAGUCUAGUGGUUAGGAUUCUGCACUCUUACCACCUCAGCCUGGGUUCCAUUCCCGGUCAGGGAAGGAAGGUAAUCCCUUCUUGCCUGCCUCUGCCUCCCCAGUGCUGGGUCUUCUGGUUUUUUUACCUUCUUUAACGGGAGGUGUUUUGGAGACCUCAAGAUGGGCCAGAGCCAGUAUAUGGCAGAGUCCUGGCAACAACCAAAAUGGACCAUCUUAUGGCCAUCAGGGGAAUACUUGGAGUCCUUAAGGUGCCUGUUGGGGUACAGGCAGAGUUGAAAUGAAGGAAUCCCUUUGUUGUUAUACAUGUGGGCUUCAGGCAGGAUGCUGGUAGGGCCUUCUGGUGGUGUAUUCUCCUUACUCUGGGAUGGACUCUCAUCUAAUCCACCAUGAAGUGACCACUGGCAUUGACGUUGAGAUGACUGCUGGUGUUGGACUUGAGGUGAUGGCUGGUGUUGGUCUUGAGGUGACUGCUGGUGUUGGUCUUGAGGUGACUGCUGGUGUUGGUCUUGAGGUGACUGCUGGUGUUGGACUUGAGGGAACUGGUGGUGUUGGGCUUGAGGUGACGGCUGGUGUUGGUCUUGAGGUGACUGCUGGUGUUGGUCUUGAGGUGACUGC
rnacentral:lncRNA from 1 species